GUCCACGCCCUAAACGAUGCGAACUGGACGUUGGUUGCAACUUGGCAAUCAGUGUCGAAGCUAACGCGUUAAGUUCGCCGCCUGGGGAGUACGGUCGCAAGACUGAAACUCAAAGGAAUUGACGGGGGCCCGCACAAGCGGUGGAGUAUGUGGUUUAAUUCGAUGCAACGCGCAGAACCUUACCUGGCCUUGACAUCCACGGAACUUACCAGAGAUGGUUUGGUGCCUUCGGGAACCGUGAGACAGGUGCUGCAUGGCUGUCGU
rnacentral:rRNA from 1 species